rnacentral:lncRNA from 1 species
GGCGUGAGCAACACGUAAGAGUGAGGUGGGUAGGCAGAGACAGCACAGAUCCAGAAGCUGCAGCCCAUGCCAUCCUGCCGCUGAAGGUUGGCGCCCUCCCCCACCAGCUGGGAUGAGCACGCGGCACCCAGUUCUGCCACCCUGGACACCCCCGCUUCGACACUGAACUUAGUGCAAAGAAUGGUCUAUUCCAGCCCGGAAGGGAAGGGACUGUGUUCAGCAACGGCACAGGAUCGCAGUGUGGUAACCUCAGGAACUUCUACUAAUAUGUGGUCCAACCUCUUCCCUUUCCACGUGAGGAGGAGAAUGAUGUCCAAAAGAGUUGGAUUCUUUAGCCA